rnacentral:misc_RNA from 1 species
GGAGAACCUGCGGCUGGAUCACCUCCUUUCUAUGGAGAAAUCUAGCAAACAUGACGUUUGACUAGUACAAAGAUGAAAAGCAUCUAUAAAAAUUACAACUUGCUCAAAGGUUACUUAAUGAGUAUUGAUUCUGUUCAAUUUUGAGGGAUUUUCCUUCAAGAAUAUAUGGGCUUAUAGCUCAGCUGGUUAGAGCGCACGCCUGAUAAGCGUGAGGUCGAUGGUUCGAGUCCAUUUAAGCCCACCAUAUUGUUCUUUGAAAAUUGCAUAUUAAUAAUUGUAUAAAAUACAACAAAGCCAAGAAUAAAUAUUCUUUGUGAAUGAUUAAUAUAACCAGUUUUGUAUAUCAAAACUUAAAAAGGUCAAGCUACAAAGGGCGCAUGGUGAAUGCCUUGGCAUCAGGAGCCGAUGAAGGACGUGAUAAGCUGCGAUAAGCUUCGGGUAGGCGCACAUAGCCAGAGAUCCGGAGAUUU